rnacentral:rRNA from 1 species
CUGGUAGCGUGGAUUAGGCAUGCAAGUCGAACGGGAUCCGGAAGGUAGCAAUAUCGGCCGGUGAGAGUGGCGGAAGGGCGAGGAACACGUGGGCAACCUGCCCUGGAAGGCGGGGAAAACCUCGGGAAACUGAGGCUAAUACCGGAUGUAGCGCCGAGCGGCAUCGCUCGAGCGCCAAAGGGGGCCGCAAGGCUCCCCCUCCUUGAGGGGCCCGCGCACCAGUCAGCUAGUUGGCGGGGUAACGGCCCACCAAGGCUCACGGUUAGCUGGGUCUGAGAGGAUGGCCAGCCGCACUGGGACUGAGAUACUGCCCAGACUCCUACGGGAGGCUGCAGUCGAGGAUCAUUCGCAAUGGGCGAAAGCCUGACGAUGCGACGCUGCGUGGAGGACGAAGGCCUUCGGGUUGUAAACUCCUGUCAUUAGGGAAAAGGAGAGGGGACCCAACACGUCCCUUAUUUGAUGGUACCUAAAGAGGAAGGGACGGCUAACUCUGUGCCAGCAGCCGC